rnacentral:rRNA from 1 species
GGUCACUGCUAUUGGGAUUCGACUAAGCCAUGCGAGUCGAGAGGGUUCGGCCCUCGGCAGACGGCUCAGUAACACGUGGAUAAUCUGUCCUUAGGUGGAGGAUAAUCUCGGGAAACUGAGAAUAAUACUCCAUAGAUCUAGGAUGCUGGAAUGCACCUAGGUUGAAAGCUCCGGCGCCUAAGGGUGAGUCUGCGGACUAUCAGGCUGUAGUCAGGGUAAAGACCUGACUAACCUACGACGGAUACGGGUUGAGAGAGCAAUAACCCGGAGACGAUAUCUGAGACACGAUAUCGGGCCCUACGGGGCGCAGCAGGCGCGAAACCUUCACACUGUGCGAAAGCGCGAUGAGGGGAUCUCAAGUGCUUGCUCGUAAGAGUAAGCUGUUUCUGUGUCUAAAAAGCAUAGAGAGCAAGAGCUGGGUAAGACGGGUGCCAGCCGCCGCGGUAAUACCUGCAGCUCAAGUGGUGACCACUAUUAUUGGGCCUAAAACGUUCGUAGCCUGUUUAGUAAAUGCCUGGGUAAAUCGAGCCGCUUAACGGUUCGAAUUCCGGGUAGACUGCUAAACUUGAGACCGGGAGAGGCUAGAGGUACUCCUGGGGUAGAGGUGAAAUUCUGUAAUCCUGGGGGGACCACCAGUGGCGAAGGCGUCUAGCUAGAACGGGUCUGACGGUGAGGGACGAAGCCCUGGGGCGCAAACCGGAUUAGAUACCCGGGUAGUCCAGGGUGUAAACGCUGCUUGCUUGAUGUUAGUUGGGCUCUGAGCCCGAUUAGUGUCGGAGAGAAGUUGUUAAGCAAGCUGCCUGGGAAGUACGGUCGCAAGGCUGAAACUUAA